AAAUGUCUCUUAAUUAUGUUUCCACACAUCCAAUUGAACUUUCUUUAUAUUAGGAGGGAAGGAAGAGAGAAAUCAGUUCCUUGCCAGAGCCCAGUCUGAGGUUUUAUUGAAUACGUGGCAGAUUGCUCAGUGCUGGGGUUCUAUUUUGCCUUAACUGGAGAAGCUGGAAUCAACUGUAUUUAGGUUAUUUAUUUAAAUAAUGUUUCUGGAGGCUUCUGGGACACAUUUUCAUUUCCAUUUUCUUUCCUGCCUUCCCAAAAAUCUCUUUCCCUAAAAGAAGUGAUAGAGGCUGACCUUCAGAUGCCAUGUUUCUUUGUGUGGUAUGUAUUUUGAGAAAGAUUGAAGGUACUGAGACUAAAGGAAAACUAAAUGUAAGUAAUGAUGAAUAAUACAGUCCUAAUUGAAUGCUCCUCGACUGUCUGGGAUUUAAUGGCAUGGCAGUAUAGCAAAUUUCUGGGUUUAAUGAGAUAAGCAAAAUAACUGCCCAAAAUAAUGUCAUACUUUUAAUAGGCUGAACUUGAUUAAACUAGACCAGAAACAGUCUGCAGACUGAGGAAGGUAUAUUGUAGAAAUAGUAAGUUCAGCACCAGUGACAUGGCAAAGAUUUUUAGGCAUAAAUCACAGGCACAUUACAUUUGGAAAGCUCCAUACAUUAGCAGACUGAACUUCUUUCCCCCCUUCUCUGAGUUCUCUGUAGGCUACACUGAAUUCUGGGACAGAAAGUGCAUAAAUGUCAAAUCUGAGUAGUCUGAGAUCAGAUCUCGCCAAUAAGAGAAUAUUUGGAGCAUAUGGGAUAGUUCAGAGCAGUUUUGAGGUGAUCUUGCUUUUCUGACUUUUACUUGUAAUUUUAUUCUAUGGCCAAAGCUAUCAAUCACUGAUGUAUCUGAGAUUGAUGUGUCUCUAGCACCUAAAAAUAGGAAGUGACCUUCCUUAAGAUUUUAGGCAAUUCUUCUGUGGAAUUCAGGUAGUCUGUGGUAAAGUGUCUUCCAGUUAGAAGUUCAAUCCAAGCAAACGGCUUGAGCAGAGCUCAUAAAAUACUUGACGUGCUUUUCAGAUGUGAAACAUGCUUGUUACUUUUGUUCCUCGCUGGAACACUUAGGCAGGACAGGAGCUUCAAAGUGAUGUUAGUGUCACAGGGUGUUACUAACUCUUCUUUGCAGUUGGAUGAAGCCUUGAAGAAUCUGGGGUAAAAGUGAGCUGUCUUAAUGAAACAGCAAUUUUGAAUGCGUAUUAUGUCCCAAGCUAAUGGCUGCUUCAGGAUGUUGCUUCAUUAACCAGGGAGCAUUAAAAGCUCCAAACCACUGUGAAGGAUGCGUUAAUCAAAAAUAUUAAUGAAAUGUGCUGACCUCCAGAUAGAUGUUCCCAUGCACAAAAAAUAAGGGCUCUGUAAUUGAGAUCCAUUAAGCACUGUGGCUGUAUUGGCUGAGUUAGCAGCCUCAGGUGCUGCCUGGCAUUCAAUAUUGCCAAUUUUUUGCUCUAUUAGCUAUAUAAAAGGGGAGAAAAAAAAGAGUCUUAAUGGCAGUCCAGUCUUUACUAAUGGGAAGGUGCUUAAGAUGCAAAUGAGAAGUUCUCCUAUCCCAUCUUUCAAUAGAUAUAGUAAGUGUAUUCAGCCUGUCCUUGCUUCCCCUGUUAAAAAAGAAAUGUAUUUGAGACUAAGCAGUGCAGGAUUCUGUGGCGCUCAGUGGCUGUGCUAUAACACAAGAUCAGAGAUCUCCUUUCCACCUAAGGACACCUCUUACCUCUUUCUUUUUGUAGCAGAAACUCAUUAAUUUUAAUGCACACCAGUGAAGUAGCUGAGUGGGCUUUGAGGUCGCCUUCAUACAGGCAUGUUGUGUUGCUUCUGCACCACUGAGUUCAUUAUUCUUUUAUCAAGAAAGCAAGGAGGAGUACCGUGUCUAUGGUCCUAAUGCUGUCUUGCUCAGACAUCACAGGGCAUCAGCACUCUCCAGAAACAUAAGAAAGCCUGCUUGGAAAAUGAAAUGAAGCAUUCUUUGGUUGGUUUAAUCCACAAGAGAGGAACACUCACCACAUAUUUCUAUAUGAUUUGCUGCUUCUUGCUCUAAAGUUAAGCAGGUCAAGGCUAGGAAAACUGGCUGCAUAAGAAAUAAAUGCCAGUGGUACAAUACAGGGCCAAUAAAGGACUUGUCUGCAUUUCCUCUACAAACAACUGUAUGCAAGGUAUUCUCAAGCCUACAAUGUUUAACCAUGCUGACAGGGGUAUUUUUACAGAGGUAUGCGUGUGUUUUCAGUGUUGCUUCUAUAGGAUUGGGAUUUCUUUCAAGCCUUGGAAGCCCAGGUCCAUUUCUGCUAGUUCCUAAAUGGGUCUGGAAGUCUCAGUCCAUUUCUGCCAGGAUGCAUGAGGGAGGCAUUCAGCUCGUAUUCAGGAAGGAGCACUGCAGCUAGGUUGCAAGGGCAAACGUGGUGCUAAGACUGCUAUGACUGUGUGACCAGGCCUGAGUUACUGUGCAUGGACAGGACAGCAAUUCUGAGAACAGAAAAGCAAAAGGUGGAUGAUGAAGGCACCUGAAGAAGGCUGUGGCUGCUGCUAAGACUGUUCUGGUUGAUCAAGAGGCCUGUGGUGGUACCUGGAGCAUGGGGAGGUGAGUGUACUCCAAUGUCACACCCUGGUGUCACCAUUCAUGUGGCCAUAGUGAGCUUUUGCAAACUUUGUUGCCUCAAAAUAACCUAAACAUGGCUGAGUAUGCUGAAGAGACUAAACUUAGCAUUUACCUGUGCUGGUAGUAUCU